rnacentral:rRNA from 1 species
UACGUAGGGUGCAAGCGUUAUCCGGAAUUAUUGGGCGUAAAGAGCUCGUAGGCGGUCUGUCGCGUCGGCUGUGAAAACCCGAGGCUCAACCUCGGGCCUGCAGUCGAUACGGGCAGACUAGAGUGCGGUAGGGGAGACUGGAAUUCCUGGUGUAGCGGUGAAAUGCGCAGAUAUCAGGAGGAACACCGGUGGCGAAGGCGGGUCUCUGGGACGGUACUGACGCUAAGGCGCGAAAGCGUGGGGAGCGAACAGG